GACGAACCACCCAAACGUUAUUCGGAAUUACUGGGCUUAAAGGGUGCGUAGGCUGUGCGGAAAGUUGGGUGUGAAAUACCUCAGCUUAACUGAGGAACUGCGCUCAAAACUACCGUGCUCGAGGGAGACAGAGGUGAGCGGAACUUAGGGUGGAGCGGUGAAAUGCGUUGAUAUCCUAAGGAACACCGGUGGCGAAAGCGGCUCACUGGGUCUUUUCUGACGCUGAGGCACGAAAGCGUGGGUAGCAAACAGG
rnacentral:rRNA from 1 species